CAGUAGCCACGGUAAUACGUAGGUGGCAAGCGUUGUCCGGAAUUAUUGGGCGUAAAGGGCUCGCAGGCGGUUUCUUAAGUCUGAUGUGAAAGCCCCCGGCUCAACCGGGGAGGGUCAUUGGAAACUGGGAAACUUGAGUGCAGAAGAGGAGAGUGGAAUUCCACGUGUAGCGGUGAAAUGCGUAGAGAUGUGGAGGAACACCAGCGGCGAAGGCGACUCUCUGGUCUGUAACUGACGCUGAGGAGCGAAAGCGUGGGGAGCGAACAGGAUUAGAGACCCGCGUAGUCCCUGUCUCUUAUAC
rnacentral:rRNA from 1 species